GACGGGGCCCGCACAAGCGGUGGAGUAUGUGGUUUAAUUCGAUGCAACGCGAAGAACCUUACCUGGUCUUGACAUCCCGGAGACCCUUAGGAACUAGGGGUGCUUCCAUCUGGAAGAAUCUGGAGACAGGUGCUGCAUGGCUGUCGUCAGCUCGUGUCGUGAGAUGUUGGGUUAAGUCCCGCAACGAGCGCAACCCUUGCCUUUAGUUGCCAGCAGUUCGGCUGGGCACUCUAAAGGGACUGCCGGUGUUAAACCGGAGGAAGGUGGGGAUGACGUCAAGUCCUCAUGGCCUUUAUGACCAGGGCUACACACGUACUACAAUGGCCGAUACAAAGGGCAGCGACACUGCGAGGUGAAGCCAAUCCCGUAAAAUCGGUCUCAGUCCGGAUUGGAGUCUGCAACUCGACUCCAUGAAGUUGGAAUCGCUAGUAAUCGUGGAUCAGCAUGCCACGGUGAAUACGUUCCCGGGCCUU
rnacentral:rRNA from 1 species